AUAGCUCUAUGAGUUAAAUCCUACACUAUCCAGUUAACACUAACACUUUACUUUAUCCUAUAAGUCUAACCAUUCUGAUUCCAACUUUGUUUUAGUAUUCAUUUACCAUUCUUUUGUCAGAAUUCUCGUGGCCUUUGGGGGAGUACCACGUGCCCAACUCCCCACUCAAAUCUUGACACAACACACACUACAACCCAUGACUACUCGACACCUAGACCAAGGACAGCCGUUCACCCUCUCAUAAACCUCUAAUUCAGAAAAAGAAACUGGACAGAUCCUGCUUAUUUGCAUGUUUCUAACAUGGCACCUCAUGCUUGUUUGCAUGGUGGAUUUCUUCCAAACACACCACCUCCUCCUU
rnacentral:lncRNA from 1 species